rnacentral:lncRNA from 1 species
UGUUCCUGUUGAAAAGUAUUCCUAACUCCAUAAAUUACAGUACAGAAAGAGGAAGAAGGUUGUGAAAACUGUGCAUUCUAAAAGACAGCGUAGAUUGAAACACCCACUUUGGAUGCACCAAGGGAAAAGCAAAUCUGAGUGCUACAGGAGACAGUGAACAAGGGAAUCUCUCAUAGAGAGCAGGUGUUUGGCAUUUUGGAGCAAGC